rnacentral:SRP_RNA from 1 species
GCUGGGCGUGGUGGUGCACACCUGUAAUCCCACCUACUUGGGAGGCUGAGGCAGGAGAAUUGCUUGAACCUGGGGGUUGGAGGUUCCAGUGAGCUGAGAUCAUGCCACUGCACUCUAGCCUGGGUGACAGAGCAAGACUCUGUCUCAA